rnacentral:rRNA from 1 species
AAUAUUUUGGUCUUGGUGUUUAAAGAAUUAUGGAACCACACUGAUCCAUCUCGAACUCAGUGGUGAAACGUAAUUACAGUGACGAUACUUCUGAAGAAGUUCUUUGGGAAAAUAGCUUAUGCCAAGAC